rnacentral:rRNA from 1 species
GACGAACGCUGGCGGCGUGCUUAACACAUGCAAGUCGAACGGUGAAAGCGGAGCUUGCUCCGCUGGAUCAGCGGCGAACGGGUGAGUAACACGUGGGCAACCUGCCCCUCACUUCGGGAUAACUCCGGGAAACCGGGGCUAAUACCGGAUAUGACCUCCUUGGGCAUCCUUGGAGGUGGAAAGUUUUUCGGUGAGGGAUGGGCCCGCGGCCUAUCAGCUUGUUGGUGAGGUAGUGGCUCACCAAGGCGACGACGGGUAGCCGGCCUGAGAGGGCGACCGGCCACACUGGGACUGAGACACGGUCCAGACUCCUACGGGAGGCAGCAGUGGGGAAUAUUGCGCAAUGGGCGAAAGCCUGACGCAGCAACGCCGCGUGCGGGAUGACGGCCUUCGGGUUGUAAACCGCUUUCAGCAGGGAAGAAGCCGCAAGGUGACGGUACCUGCAGAAGAAGCACCGGCUAACUACGUGCCAGCCGCCGCAGUAA